UUCUUCCAUCCUUUUUUGAAUAUGUAAUGUGUUUGUUUGUGUUUCUUUUGCUUUGGAUCUAUUUGUCGUCCGCAUCCCUAACCUCUUUUUAAUGGGAAAACUGAAGUGCUCACAAACCAAGAGAUUUGGGACCGAUCUUGCACAAAAACCCGUCGGAACAUCGCUACCUUGUCGAAACAUCGCUACCUUGUCGUAAGAUCAGCCCCGACGCCAGUCGGGACAUCUGUACCCCUUUAUCGAUUUAUUCUCAAUCUUGUAAUUUAUUGAAGUCGCACGCACCGUAAGCCUUCCUCGUGGCCUGCUCCACGACCAAGAGAAAGAAGCCUAACUUUUCAUUCCUCCUCAAAGGUCAUGUUCAUGGGCGUGUCCUAGAAAAAGCUCUCCCGAGGUCUGCUUCUCUGAGGCCUUGGCCUGCUUUACUAGCUGGGGCAACUCAUAAAACAAGGUCUGCUUAGCUGUGUGGCAAAACCUUUCCGUGUAAACAUCAAGAGCUAAAGAUAUGUGAUGGGGAUCUUUGACUACUGUGAUUUUAUGGCACACGGAGAACAUAAAUAAGAACAUUUCUAAUUUUACUUUUGGGUUGAAGGUGAGUUAAUACUGAUUUCUUAUAGCUAAAGCUACUGGGAGUUGCAAAAUUGUUAUGUAGAUAUGUAUCCGGAUGUGUCUAGUUUUAGGGAUUUUCUUUAUUGAGUUCUUGGCUUUUAGCGCACCAGUCUGUGGAAUCUGCUUGCCCGUUUAAUUUCGGAAUGCCAUUACAUCAGAUGACUCGUGAUUUUUGCUUAAUCUCUCUGGCCGAUUGACUUAUGGUUUUCAUCCUUCGUCCUUUAAAUGCUUAAUGCCAAAGGUGGAAGGACAAGAAACUGUAUCAUAUGAAUUAGUGGGAUUUUGCUAGCUUCUCGGCUUUUAUGGACUUUCAAUUUUUAAUUUAAUUUAUUUAUCGAUGAAAUUUUUGUAUCAUUUAGUAAAAAAUAUUGUUCACUUAUGAUAUUUCAUUUUUAAAUAAUUUUUCUAAUAUGGUUCAUUUAUGAUAUAUCACUUCUUGACAGCUUAUCAAAUGCCUGCUAUUGUAGUUUCCACAAAACUAUUGGCAUGGAUGAGGAAGUAUCCAUAUCCAAGCAUCCUAUGAUCAAUCAUUUGGACGUUAGGAAUGCAUCAUUUUCUGUCAAAAGAUUUCCAAGAAGGUUGUUCUCACAUUUCAUCAGUAUUUUCUUUUCAUUUCCUUCGUUUGGAACUAACUUGAAUCAUGUUUCGUUGAUGUAUUUGGAAUAGAUUUAAUUCUUGUUGCUAAUUGAAGUGUGGUUUCUGGGUUUUCGUUGAGGCAUAACUUGAUUGAUCGAAAUCUUACUUUUUUGUUGUUCAAAAUGGAUGUUAUUUGCUAAAAGAAAAGAGGCCUCUCUCUUAUCUUUCCCCUUUACUUUUGGAGCUGAAUCUACUUGAGAUUAUGGGAGGAACCUUAUCUACUUGGAAGUUAUUUGCAAAAAGAAAAAGAAGCUCACUCAUCUCUCUCUCUUUCUAUUUUUUUCUUUUCCACUGGUUGAUUGAAUGCUGCAGCUAUUUGGGAAUUGAUAAGAACCUUGUCAAAAUUAAGAAAGUUAUUAGCAAAAAGAACAGGAGCCCUCCUCAUUGGAUCUACUUGGGAAGAAUCUUUUCAAAAGGAGAGUAACUUGCAAAAAGAAAAUUAGCCUCUCCAUCUCUCUCUCUCUCAGUUUCCCUUUGCUCUGAUCUCUUGACUGAAGAAGAUCAGAAGAUCUUUAGGCAUUUAGAUUCUCUUGGAGUGGAGGAUCAAAAGGAUGUAAAGAUGGGCUAUUCCAUCAUGUUUAGUUUCAAUGAGAAUCCUUAUUUUGAAGAUAGAAAGCUAGAGAAGACAUAUACAUUCUUUGAAGAUUGAGCAAUUAAAAUUACUGGAACAACAAUCAAGUGGAAGGAUGGCUCGGGUGCCUCAAACGGAGUUAAUGGUGAGAAGAAAGGGAAGAAACGACCGCUGACUGAAGACAGCUUCUUCAGUUGGUUUGGUGAAACCGAUCAAAAGGAUAUCACUGAGCUUCAUGAUGAAGUAGCUGAGAUAAUUAAAGAGGACCUAUGGCCCAAUCCUUUGAAAUAUUUCAACAAUGUUUCGGCUGCAAGGACUUGCAAUUGUAUAUUUGUAUAUAUUUUUUGCUUCAGCAAAGGCAGCGUGACAUUGAGUUUAGGAAAUCUGAUAAUGAACAGAGAUAGAGCAAAUCACAAGCACCAAAUAAUAUGUAGGAAAUUGAUGGUUCAAGUUCAAGCUUCAGUCAACUGUUUGGAAUUGAAGGGAGCUAUCACUAAACAAAUGACUGCAAUAGAAGAAAUAGUUGCAAGUGAGUACAAUUAGCCAGACCCUCAUCUUUGUGACAAAGAUCUUGAAGUUGGUCAUUUGUGAAGCGUUCUAGUUUACUAUUAGUUGCAGUUUUAGUUAUUGCUCUCUCAAUAUAUUCUUUUUCUUUCUUUCUUUCUUUUUUUUCCCCAAAUGAUGAUCAGUGUAAUAAUUAAACUUCAUAAUUUAUUUGUGUUUGGAGCAAGUUGUA